UUUAAAUUUAAUAUGUUUUGGUCACAACAUCACAUAAUUUUUUGUCACAAUUGCUCAAUUAUAAGUCACAACUUAUUCGUUGGCCACAAAUUUUCAAAUUAAUUGGUGAAAAUUUAUUUUGUGAUCAUAAAUUAUAUAAUUUUUACGUCACAAUUAAAUGGUUCACUCAUUAUUUUCCGAUCACAAAUCACGAAUUUUAUAAAUCACAACUCAUUCAUCCAUCACAGAUUUUAAUUUUCUGGUCACAAAUUAAAAUAAUUUUUAGGCCACAAUUAAAUUGUUGGUCACAACUAACCAAACAUCAAGUCACAAAUUAAUCUCAUCCCACGCCCCCACCACUACCACCACACUAACACCAAAACCACCGAUAUCCCUCGCCACAGCCACCAAUACAACACUCAAACAAGUCACCGCCACCGCACAAAAACCAGAUUCGCCACCACAGCCACCACCGCAACACCUCAAACAAAUCACUGCCAACACACAAGCAUCAGAUUCGUCAACAUCCACCACACAAACACCAUCUCCACCACCAUCCCAAAUUGACGACCACCUCACCAUGGAAACACCGCCACAUCACAGAAAUAUACCACCACAUCUCAAAACCACCAGAUCCGCCGAGAGCUACCUCACCAGGAAGAGACCGCCAUCGGUAGAGAGUGACAGAUCCACAGCCAUCUCCACAGGCCCUGACUACAUCAACUGGCGGAGAUCCACAACCCUUGACUACAUCACCACCCCCCGCAAAUAGAACACACCAACAUCCCCACAGAUUCACUACAUCACCACGUGCGACUGUGAGGCGAUCUAAGAACAAAGUCAGGUUGCUGCAGCGGCGACGGCAGCGACACCUGAGCAGAGAGACGGUGGUGAAGAGAGAGGAGAGGAGAGGAGAGGGCGGCGGACGGUGGUAUGGAGAGGAGAGGAGAUGAGAGAGAGAUCAAUUUAGGGCUUGAAUGGAUAGAUAGGGUGGGGUGUAUGUAUAUUAGAUUAAUUUAUAGUAUUAUUAUUAAAAAUAUUCAUUUAUGAUAUUUAAAUUAAGAUCUGAAUUUUG
rnacentral:lncRNA from 1 species